GGUCUUAUAUUCAAGUUAUGAUAUUAGAAUGCAAUUCUAGUGGUGUAAAUAAAUACUAAGACUU
rnacentral:tRNA from 1 species